UACGGAGGGGACUAGCGUUGUUCGGAAUUACUGGGCGUAAAGCGCACGUAGGCGGAUUUGUAAGUCAGGGGUGAAAUCCCGGGGCUCAACCUCGGAACUGCCUUUGAUACUGCAAAUCUCGAGUCCGGAAGAGGUGAGUGGAAUUCCUAGUGUAGAGGUGAAAUUCGUAGAUAUUAGGAAGAACACCAGUGGCGAAGGCGGCUCACUGGUCCGGUACUGACGCUGAUGCACGAAAGCGUGGGGAGCAAACAGG
rnacentral:rRNA from 1 species